GUGGUGGUCACGGACGGGAGCGAAUGAGCGUGGGUGACUAACACAGCUCAGGGCAACAGGCGCAGGAAAGAUAAAGAACAAAGGAGAAUAUGAACGUGGCUGCGCUAAUGAGAAGACAUUUGCAAAAAUCACAAACAUAUAAAUGAGCGUAAACUCCGGAAUCCAGAACCAACCACACAACACACACACACACACCGAGGGUACCCACAC